rnacentral:misc_RNA from 1 species
UUUCUUACAAGCUUUCGACGAGAGAAGUUGCAAAUUGUAUUCGUGCAAAAUCUACUGAGUUACUUUUAUAUAUUAUUUUCACGCCUCCGUCCCAGAGAUCUUUUUUUCGAAGUCAUCACAUUCUGUUACUCUUAUACAUUCCUGUUUUAAAAAUUGAAAAUGCCAGCCAACGAAAACAGAAUAAAAACCUACAAAAACAAAGGCAGAGAUGUUGAUGAAAUGAGGCGGCGAAGAACUGAUGUUUCAGUUGAGCUCAGAAAACAGAAGAAAGAUGACCAACUUCUGAAAAGAAGAAAUGUUGCUAUCGAAGAGGAUGAUGAACCAACAAGUCCUUUAAAAGACAACUCCAACAAGGGUCCUGGAUUGACACUUGUGGAGAUCAUCGCCGGCAUAAAUAGCACGUCACCUCAGACCCAGAUGCAAUGUACGCAGGCAGCCAGAAAACUUCUCUCCAAGGAACGAAACCCGCCCAUUGAUGACAAAUAUCGCCUCGGGAACCAGCAACCAGACCAAGUUUGUGGUGAAGGCUGGGGCCGUCCCAAACUUUGUAAAACUUUUAUCCUCACCCCACCACAAUGUGUGUGAACAGGCUGUGUGGGCGCUGGGAAAUAUAGCAGGUGACGGUCCUGAUCUUCGUGACUUUGUGACAGAAGCAGGAAUUGUGGAACCCCUGUUGAGACUGAUUGAGACGGACACACCAGCUGGUUUUCUAAGAAACAUUACAUGGACCUUAUCCAACCUGUGCAGAAACAAGAACCCUCCUCCCAAGUUUAAGGUGGUGCGACAGUUUCUGCCCACGCUGGCGCGACUGUUACAUCACAGUGACAGGGAGGUGUUGACCGACACCUGCUGGGCUCUGUCUUAUCUCACAGACGGAACCAACGACAAAAUCCAGGAGGUGAUAGACAGCAAUGUUGUGACCAGACUAGUUGAACUUCUGAACAGCAACGAGGUGUCGGUGAUAACCCCCGCCCUGAGAGCGAUCGGAAACAUCGUUACGGGUGACGACAGCCAGACGCAGUGCAUUCUGGACCACGGGGCGCUCUCGGCCUUCCACAACCUCCUGAAACACCAUAAGAUCAACAUCCAAAAGGAGGCCGCCUGGACGAUCUCCAACAUCACCGCGGGGAACACCCAGCAGAUCCAGCAGGUGAUCGACCAGCAGCUGUUACCCCCAGUGCUGGACAUCCUCACCAAGGGAGAUUACAAGAGCCAGAAAGAGGCUGUGUGGGCAGUGACCAACCUGACCUCAGGAGGUACCGUGGAACAGAUAGCCUACCUGGUCCAGCUGGGGGCCAUCAAGCCCCUGUGUGACCUCCUGACCGUUAAAGAGGCCAAGGUCAUAUUGGUUAUUCUGGAUGCUCUCUCCAAUGUUCUGAUGGCGGCGGAGAAGUUAAACCAGCAGGACGUUGUGUGUGUGAUGAUCGAGGAGUCUGGGGGACUUGAUAAAAUCGAGAACCUCCAAAACCACGAAAACGAACAUGUUUACAAGGCAGCCCUGGAAAUCAUCGAAAAGUGGUUCUCUGGAGAGGAGGAGGACUCAAGUUUAGCUCCCACCACAACAGAAGGCGGUGCCUACCAGUUCAACGCCGCCGCCACCAUUCCACAGCAAGGAUUCUCCUUCUGAUCUCCACAUGUGAUCUUUUAUUGUGAUACUCAAAUCCAGACUCAGAGACUCGGAUUUAAAAAAAACAAAAAACCUUGAUUGUUAUUAAUCACGGAAAUAGUUGAUUAAGAUUUGAUGAGAUGGAGUAAUUUAAUUUAGUGCUGCUCAGAGAAUGGAUCUCGGAUUUUGGUGCAAUCUCUUCCCUCCUUUAUAUAUUGAUAUACAUGAAUUAUGUGUUUUCUGUGAAAUUGGAAAUUAUGAAUGACUAUUGGAAGUGUUAGUUUUUGCAUGUUACUUGAAGAUUGCCAAUAUAUUUAUAUGGUAAGAAUGCAUAUUUAAUGUACAUGAAAAUGUAUGUUUAUUUUUGCUCAUUUUAGGUUAGAUUAAAAACACAAAUGUUAACACAUUUGAAUAAGAGGUCACAAUGCAGUAUUGCAAGAUUCUGUUAUCUUUGCCACUCUAUGAGCAAUAUGUUUGGUUUUAGAUUCAUGUUCAUAUGAAAAAUAACUUUUGUAUCACCCUGUAUAACUUUCCCUUUUUCUCUGUACUUUCUUUUUCCUCUAUCUUUCUAUUGCUUACACAUUUUUGGUUUAUGAAUGCAUAUAAUAGAAUUGUUUCAAAUUGUACUGAUUUUAAGAAAAAUCAUUAAAAAUGAAAAUGGACA